rnacentral:pre_miRNA from 1 species
UCUUAUGGAUGAGCAAAGAAAGUGGUUCCUUGAGAUGAAAUCUACUCGUAGUGAAGGUGCUGUGAA